rnacentral:lncRNA from 14 species
GUGGAUUUGUCUCAGCACUCCAGCACUUGUAUGAGCAGGACCGAGUGGGUGGUGCCAGGCAGGAACAGGAUGCUGGUGGCAGGAGGGAGAAGGUGGCGUGGCUGGGAGCCUCUUCAGCCGUGAGGAGAGGUGCCUCAGUUGAGUUUCAUGAGAGGAUUUGGCUGGCUCUGCCCCAGGGCUGCCCUGUGCUGCCUCCCUGAAAAGCCAUGAGGAGGGGAAGCUUGGACAGCCCCCUGGGGGUACCUGCAGCCGGGGAUGUGAGCGGUGACUCUGCCCUGUGCUGUCUGAGGGUUCUGGUACAUGAAUAAGUUGUCACCGUGGGGCUGUGGAAGGAGGGCUGCGCUAUCCCUGUCUUACAUUGGUUGCAGGUUCAAAGCACAUGGAGAGCUCUUACUGCAAAGCAGAUGUGUGGUAAAGUGCUUGUGGGGCAGGUCUGUAAGGGGAGUUGAGGCUGCAGCCCCUGGAGUGUUGUGAAAAUACAGUGCAAUCCCCAGUAAACACUGUAAUCCAUAGAACAGACCUGGGAUGCGAUUUUACUCCAGUUAGAUCAUAUUCCAUGUGUCCCAGGCAGCAAGCAGGGCAUUUCGUCCUGCAGUGUAUGUAACCACCUGAGAGGCGGAUGUUUUGGAGAAGGGGACGUCAUGAGGCAUUCUGGUGGAGGGCUGUCAGAGAGAGAAGAGCCAGGUACCUAUCUCCUGGGCACUAAUGGUGUGUUCAGGCUGAAAAAUCAGCUCAUCUCCAUGUUGGUAAUGGAGUAACAGUUACCAUGAUGCAGCCUCUCUCUGCUGCAGGCUUAGAGAAAUUGCUGCUUGCCUUUUCCUCCCCAGGAUGCUGAACCCAGCACCCCAAACUGCCGCGGCUGCUCAGGACUGGGGACAUCUAGAAUGCAACAUGUGGAGCUGUCAGAAUGGAACGGGAGUGGCACAGAUCAGCUUCGGGAGCCAAAAAUAGGCUGUGUGCUGCUGCUGUGUCACCCACCCUCCAGAGGCCCAGGGAGUGCUUGGAGGGGGGAUUUUGUCCAUGCUGAUGGCUGCAUUGGCAUUCCCGUGUUCCUGAUGUCAUCGCGUGCAUUACCCUUUCCCUAA